rnacentral:rRNA from 1 species
UGGGGAAUAUUGCACAAUGGGCGCAAGCCUGAUGCAGCCAUGCCGCGUGUAUGAAGAAGGCCUUCGGGUUGUAAAGUACUUUCAGUCGGGAGGAAGGUGGUAAGGUUAAUAACCUUAUCAAUUGACGUUACCGACAGAAGAAGCACCGGCUAACUCCGUGCCAGCAACCGCGGUAAUACGGAGGGUGCAAGCGUUAAUCGGAAUUACUGGGCGUAAAGCGCACGCAGGCGGUUGAUUGAGUCAGAUGUGAAAUCCCCGGGCUUAACCCGGGAAUUGCAUCUGAUACUGGUCAGCUAGAGUCUUGUAGAGGGGGGUAGAAUUCCAUGUGUAGCGGUGAAAUGCGUAGAGAUGUGGAGGAAUACCGGUGGCGAAGGCGGCCCCCUGGACAAAGACUGACGCUCAGGUGCGAAAGCGUGGGGAGCAAACAGG